rnacentral:rRNA from 1 species
AUUGAACGCUGGCGGCAGGCUUAACACAUGCAAGUCGAGCGGGGGAGGUUGCUUCGGUAACUGACCUAGCGGCGGACGGGUGAGUAAUGCUUAGGAAUCUGCCUAUUAGUGGGGGACAACGUUCCGAAAGGAACGCUAAUACCGCAUACGCCCUACGGGGGAAAGCAGGGGAUCUUCGGACCUUGCGCUAAUAGAUGAGCCUAAGUCGGAUUAGCUAGUUGGUGGGGUAAAGGCCUACCAAGGCGACGAUCUGUAGCGGGUCUGGGAGGAUGAUCCGCCACACUGGGACUGAGACACGGCCCAGACUCCUACGGGAGGCAGCAGUGGGGAAUAUUGGACAAUGGGCGCAAGCCUGAUCCAGCCAUGCCGCGUGUGUGAAGAAGGCCUUUUGGUUGUAAAGCACUUUAAGCGAGGAGGAGGCUACUUGGAUUAAUACUCUAGGAUAGUGGACGUUACUCGCAGAAUAAGCACCGGCUAACUCUGUGCCAGCAGCCGCCGUAAUAC